ACGAACGCUGGCGGCGUGCUUAACACAUGCAAGUCGAACGGAAAGGCCCUGCUUUUGUGGGGUGCUCGAGUGGCGAACGGGUGAGUAACACGUGUGUAACCUGCCCUUGACUUUGGGAUAACUUCAGGAAACUGGGGCUAAUACCGGAUAGGAGCUCCUGCUGCAUGGUGGGGGUUGGAAAGUUUCGGCGGUUGGGGAUGGACUCGCGGCUUAUCAGCUUGUUGGUGGGGUAGUGGCUUACCAAGGCUUUGACGGGUAGCCGGCCUGAGAGGGUGACCGGCCACAUUGGGACUGAGAUACGGCCCAGACUCCUACGGGAGGCAGCAGUGGGGAAUAUUGCACAAUGGGCGGAAGCCUGAUGCAGCAACGCCGCGUGCGGGAUGACGGCCUUCGGGUUGUAAACCGCUUUCGCCUGUGACGAAGCGUGAGUGACGGUAAUGGGUAAAGAAGCACCGGCUAACUACGUG
rnacentral:rRNA from 1 species